UUUUGCUGCAGGUCCAAGCUCGUAGCCUGCUAUGGCUCCUGCAGGAGCAUGCUGGGGACGAGAGAGUUGUAUCUUUACCCACAUGGGAGUACUCCAUGGACAUGCAGACCUUUUUCUCCCUACAACCCCCGUCGCGCAGUGAUUUUAGAUAUUUGCAUGAGAUACUCGAGGGCAGACACUUGAAGAGGUGUUGGUCUGGGCGAUCUGAGCACUUGAAGAUGUCCAGUGCCAGUACAAGAUCUGUGUUGCCAAAUGAACUCACUGGGGUGCCUCAAACUUCCCUAGCUGCCAGUACCACAAAAAGUGACACAGACUAAUGGGUGCAGUGGAGAAAUAAACAUAAAGGGUUACCACCUCCUUGGCAAAGCUGUUGAUGACAUGUCACUUGAACCUUGGAAGCUGAUUUUCUGACAGAUACUCCCACACUUUGUGGGCAGAACUGUCACAGGCAGAUCUAGCUGGAGUGAGAUGUCGUUCCUUCCUUUUUUCUGAAAUUAUAAUUGUAACUAAUAUUUCAUGUCAGACUUGCUAACCUUGGAAGUUAAUGUUAUAUCUUCCCUUCCAUAAGACAAAUAGCAAUAUCGUUUUCCCCAGGUCUUUGCUAGUUUGGAGUAGUGGUGAUGCUAGACACUUUUACGCUUGGCACAGUACAAGGAUGGGAAAACCCCAGUACAUCUGAAAGGACCAUUCCUGGGCAACAGCGGCAUGAAGGUGGAGAUUUUAAAAAUGAGGAUACGUGGCAGCCUGACUCCUCCAAACUGUGUUGCAGAUUGGGUGUCCAAAUCUCCCUCACUUAAAUUUAUAAGGCUGCCUAGACCU